GACGAACCACACAAACGUUAUUCGGAAUUACUGGGCUUAAAGGGUGCGUAGGCGGUUUGUCGCGUCUGCUGUGAAAACUCAGGGCUUAACCCUGAGCCUGCAGUGGGUACGGGCAGACUAGAGUGUGGUAGGGGAGAUCGGAAUUCCCGGUGUAGAGGUGAAAUUCGUAGAUAUCGGGAGGAACACCAGUGGCGAAGGCGGCGACCUGGGCCAAUACUGACGCUGAGGUGCGAAAGCGUGGGGAGCAAACAAG
rnacentral:rRNA from 1 species